ACCAAACACCUGCAGCUUUGUGGGAGUAUUUACGUACGAUUUUACAUGCAGUAUACUAAAAAACUGUGGCGGCCUGGGAAUUUCCGGUUAAAACACUUUCUGAUAACACUUAUAUGACUGGUCAUCCUCUCUGGGUUGUUUUGUCAUUACUUAUUACACACCUUUUAUAACAAAAUGAAAGGUUGUGUACUUUCUCUCAAACACCCUUUCUGAUAACACGUAUAUGACUGUUGUUGUUGUUUUAUCAUUACUCAUUCACCCCUUUUAUAACAUAAUGCAAGGUUGUGACCUCUCUCACACACACACACAGGCUUAUCUGAUGGAUAAUGGCGGCACGUGCACACCCACACGCAUGCACGUGCACGAGCAUACCUUCCUACCCCCAGAAUGUGCAAUAUUAUUACUGCUCACCUUCCUUGGGUUGAUAAUCAUCUCCUUGGUCUUGUUUGUAUUCAGGGAGAGAUUGUUAUUAUGACACCAGGCCACAAGUUCCUCCACCUCUCUUCUGUACGCCGCCUCAGCCCCACCAAGGAUGAUUCCAAUUACCGUAAUAUCAUCUGCGUCUGCUUAUACGUGAGCUCUACUGAUAUUAAUAGGGACGCAGUUAUCAUUAGUUCUAGACUUGCAGCGCUGUGUUUCCUAGAUGUAGGCGGAAUGCGUUUAUAUUAUUUUUAUCAGUAUGUAUUAAGAAUACAAUUAUGGUGUCAUUUGAACAGCAGGAAAGUAAGGAUAAGUCUUUAUGGGAAAAGCUGAAAUGAUGUAACUCAUCAAAGCCAACAUUCAGGAAUCCCCAGCCUCACUGAAUGGAAAUGACAAUAUGUGUAAUAUCUAAUCAGUUCAAUCGGUUGCAGCGUCAAAUCAAAUAAGUGACGAACAAGUCCGUCCUACACAUGCGUACAGGGGAAUGGAGCAGCUGGAACAGAUCAAAGGCGAUUGCAUGCAUACUUGCUCAGGCUCCUCAGAGUCCCCUCCUCAAUCCUUGAUUCUCACUCCUCCCUCUUAAUCCACAUGUGGUUUGGUUUUUAAAGUCUUUUCAAGAUUGACCAAAGUUCUUUUGAAAUAAAUGUUUGAUUGUACUACCUGUCAGAUUGCAAAGGUUAAUGGUUCAAACCCUAUUUAAUUUUCUUAUUUUCAUUCCCCCAGAUGUUUCACAUCUAACUUUGUGAGUGAUGUAUGAAAUAUAUAACUGGGCAUAAAUAUCUUUACUGGGAUUGAAAUCUGUAUUUCCUCUUGUGCAGGGCUUAAUUUUUCGUCUUUGUUCUCCAGUGAAGGAAAAGCGAGGCAUAAAAGGUAAAUUAUGCCUUCCAGCCAUGUUAUCCUGUCAAAUCCGUGGUGAGUAGCGAGGCAGCUGUAGACGUAGAUGUUGAGCUUCGACCGGGUGGGUUUCACUCACUUUGUAGCCUGUAAUUGCCAAUGACCUGGAAAACACCACAUCGCAGUUCACUUCUAAUUAUCCCAUGCAUGCUAAUCAUCGAGGAGACACUGUAAGGGAUGAUGAGGGCUAUAUAAAGCUGAAACCAAGGCAACGUUGUUGUCUUGGUGCUGCUGUUAAGCUCAAUAAAUACCUCACACUUGGCACACACUUCUAUGGUUAAAUCCAAGGGAAUUGAGGGACACGGGCAUGAACUUCUACAAAGAAAGAAAAUAUGGAGGUGAUACAUGUAGUAUUAACUUGUGUAUGUCCAGGAUUUAUUUGAUUUGUCCCUCCUCAAAUACAAUAAUACAAUUUCAUCUUCGGAUUCCAAAUAUCUUCAUGAGUUUUAAUUCCCUGAGCAGUUACGGCGUAAUUAUGCUGUGGUGUUGUUGCUUUCAGCUGAGAGGUGGCAGAAAAUAUAAACCAGUAUAUGGUGACCAAACGCUACACCUCCAGCCACCAGUCUGUCAGGCUCCUGAAUUGCAGAUGACACCACCCUCAUUGGACUCUGGUGGGAAUGAGACCGCCUACAGGUUGGAGAUUGACCAACUGGUGACGUGGUGCAGUCGAAACAACUUAGAGCUCAACGCCCUGAAGACAGUGGACUGUAGCCGACCCCUCUCACCCCGGACACAGACUCUUUGGCUCUUCUUCCAUCUGGCAGGAGGCUGCGGUCCAUCACGACCAAGACCUCUCGCCACACAAACGUUUUUUCCCGUCAGCAGUUGGUCCGAGCCCCCCAUUGACCCAAAUACUCCAUCCCGGAAACAUUAUGCACUUUGGAUUCUUUCACCAUGCAAACAUAUGGACAUACAUAUGUGAAUACAUUUCUGUUUAUAUUGUUAAUUCUUGCUUGUAUAUUUGUCUUAUUUUACUUUAUUCUUUAUUGCACCAAUGCACAGAGUCCUCUAUAUGUAACCUGUGGCAAUAAAAGGCUUCUGAUUCUGGU
ensembl:lncRNA